GAAAUGCGAUACGUAAUGUGAAUUGCAGAUUCGUGACUCAUCGAAAUUUUGAACGCAUAUUGCACUUGAUGGUAUUCCGUCAAGUAUGCUUGUUUGAGUGUCAUUUGUACCCUCAAGCUUUGCUUGGUGUUGGGUGUUUGUCCUCUCUGGAGGACUCGCCUUAAAACAAUUGGCAGCCGGCAUAUUGGUAUCGGAGCGCAGCACAAGUCGCGCUUCUUUCCAUGAAUGUCAGCAUCCAUCAAGACUAUUUUCACUCUUGACCUCGGAUCAGGUAGGGAUACCCGCUGAACUUAA
rnacentral:misc_RNA from 1 species